rnacentral:rRNA from 1 species
ACUCAAAGGAAUUGACGGGGGCCCGCACAAGCAGUGGAGUAUGUGGUUUAAUUCGACGCAACGCGAAGAACCUUACCAGGGCUUGACAUAUACAUGAAAGUCUAAGAGAUUAGACCCCUCUUCGGAGCGUGUAUACAGGUGGUGCAUGGUUGUCGUCAGCUCGUGUCGUGAGAUGUUGGGUUAAGUCCCGCAACGAGCGCAACCCCUGUUCUUAGUUACCAGCGAGUUAAGUCGGGAACUCUAAGAAGACUGCCGGUGAUAAAUCGGAGGAAGGUGGGGACGACGUCAAAUCAUCAUGCCCUUUAUGUCCUGGGCUACACACGUACUACAAUGGCUGUAACAAAGGGAAGCUAAGCCGCGAGGUGGAGCAAAACCCAAAAAAGCAGUCUCAGUUCGGAUUGAAGGCUGAAAUUCGCCUUCAUGAAGCCGGAAUUGCUAGUAAUGGCAGGUCAGCAUACUGCCGUGAAUACGUUCCCGGGCCUUGUACACACCGCCCGU